GAUGAACGCUGGCGGCGUGCUUAACACAUGCAAGUCGAACGGAAAGGCCCUGCUUUUGUGGGGUUCUCGAGUGGCGAACGGGUGAGGAACACGUGAGUAACCUGCUCUUGACUUUGGGAUAACUUCAGGUAGCUGGGGCUAAUACCGGAUAGGAGCUCCCGUUGCAUUGUGGGGGUUGGAAAGUCUAGGCGGUUGGGGAUGGACGCGCGGCUUAUGAGCUUGUUGGUGGGGUAGUGGCUUACCCAGGCUUUGGCGGGUAACCGGCCUGAGAGGGUGACCGGCCACCUUGGGACUGAGGUACGGACCAGACUCCUACGGGAGGCAGCAGUGGGGAGUAUUGCACAGUGGGCGGGCGCCUGAUGCAACGACGCCGCGUGCGGGAUGACGGCCUUCGGGUUGUGAACCGCUUUCGCCUAUGACGAAGCGUGAGUGACGGUAAUGGGUGAAGAAGCACCGGCUAACUACGUG
rnacentral:rRNA from 1 species